CCUACGGGAGGCAGCAGUGAGGGAUAUUGGUCAAUGGGGGAAACUCUGAACCAGCAACGCCGCGUGAAGGAAGACGGUUUUCUGAUUGUAAACCUCUGUCCUCUGUGAAGAUAAUGACGGUAGCCGAGGAUGACUCUCCGUCUAACUCCGUGCCAGCAGCCCCGGUACUACGUAGGGAGCAAGCGUUGUCCGGAUUUACUGGGUGUAAAGGGUGCGUAGGGGGCUUUGCAAGUCAGAAGUGAAAUCCAUGGGCUUAACCCAUGAACUGCUGUUGAAACUGCAGAGCUUGAGUGGAGUAGAGGUAGGCGGAAUGCCCGGUGUAGCGGUGAAAUGCGUAGAGAUCGGGCGGAACACCAGUUGCGAAGGCAGCCUGCCGGGCUCUAACUGACGCUGAGGCACGAAAGCGUGGGUAGCAAACAGGAUUAGAUACCCCUGUAGUC
rnacentral:rRNA from 1 species